rnacentral:rRNA from 1 species
AGAGCGAACGCUGGCGGCAGGCCUAACACAUGCAAGUCGAGCGCCCGUAGCAAUACGGGAGCGGCAGACGGGAGAGUAACACGUGGGAACGCGCCCUUCGGUUCGGAAUAACUCAGGGAAACUUGAGCUAAUACCGGAUACGCCCUUACGGGGAAAGAUUUAUUGCCGAAGGAACGGCCCGCGUCCGAUUAGCUAGUUGGUGAGGUAAUGGCUCACCAAGGCGACGAUCGGUAGCUGGUCUGAGAGGAUGACCAGCCUCACUGGGACUGAGACACGGCCCAGACUCCUACGGGAGGCAGCAGUGGGGAAUAUUGGACAAUGGGCGCAAGCCUGAUCCAGCCAUGCCGCGUGAGUGAUGAAGGCCCUAGGGUUGUAAAGCUCUUUCAACGGUGAAGAUAAUGACGGUAACCGUAGAAGAAGCCCCGGCUAACUUCGCGCCAGCAGCCGC